UAGGGAAUAUUGCGCAAUGGAGGAAACUCUGACGCAGCGACGCCGCGUGGGUGAUGAAGGCCUUCGGGUUGUAAAGCCCUGUCGGAAGGGAAGAAAAACAAUAUGGCUAAUAUCCAUAAUGCUUGACGGUACCUUUAAAGGAAGCACCGGCUAACUACGUGCCAGCAGCCGCGGUAAUACGUAGGGUGCUAGCGUUGUUCGGAAUCAUUGGGCGUAAAGCGCGUGUAGGCUGUUUAUUAAGUCGGGUGUGAAAUCCCUGGGCUCAACCGAGGAAGUGCAUCCGAAACUAAUAAACUAGAAGACGGUAGAGGAAGGUGGAAUUCCAAGUGUAGAGGUGAAAUUCGUAGAUAUUUGGAGGAAUACCGGUGGCGAAGGCGGCCUUCUGGGCCGUUCUUGACGC
rnacentral:rRNA from 1 species